AAGGGCGCACGGCGGAUGCCUUGGCACUAGGAGCCGAUGAAGGACGGCACUAACACCGAUAUGCUUCGGGGAGCUGUAAGUAAGCUUUGAUCCGAAGAUUUCCGAAUGGGGAAACCCACUGUCCGUAAUGGGACAGUACGUUCACGUGAAUACAU
rnacentral:rRNA from 1 species